UGGGAUUUCAGCAUUAGCUGCCCUCUCUCCUUGCUCAGCGCUGUGCAAAAAUAAAAUUCCUACUUCUUUCCACCACCCCGGGUGUCAGAAAUUGGCUUGCUGUGCAACGGGUGACCGAACUCACUUCAGGUUGGGUAACAGGCAACAUGGGACUGCGCAGCCAGUACUUUCUCCGGAUCAGCCUCCUGCUUCCGCUAUCGCACAUAUCCAAGAUUGGAGCCAGCAGCAACAAGGGACAUUAUUUUAAAAAACUAGAAUGUGAGAAGACAAAGCAUUGCUGACAGUCUGCUUUUGUUGCUGGCUGAGUUGUCUGGGGAGCUCUGUCUCAGUGUUGCAAGGACAGAAUUAUUACUGAACAGACAGGGCAAUGACUUGGGCCGCCUCACAUGCCCAGUGAAGAAAAUGCUGCAUACCCUUCUGAUAUUUGCAACUCCACACCCAGAGGUGGAAGCAGUCAAUAGGGGAUCUGAGAAAGUCUUUAUUUCUCCUUUACUGCUGAAGUCUAAUUUCUCAGUUUAUGGCCCCAGCAUCUUCUGCUCCAGUCAUGUGCUGCAUAACGAUGAUUUGGUCAACGACUGACGGCGUAUAUGAUGGUGCCCCCACUCACUGACUCACCCAGAGCAACUGCCAGUCCCGCAACUUCCAUUCAUGAUUCUACUACAAGUUUCAGUCAUUGAAAUAUCAUCAUCCUGUUGGCAGCGGCUAAAGAUUAAUUUGGAGGCUGUGUGGAGAGUGUAGUAGAAGGAUGGGAUUCUCGGUCAGGGUCAUGUUUCCACAAUCCAGGGAAAAGUUAAGGCUGGACCUAAAGCAGGACUGGUGAUUGUUUGAGGUCCUCUCUUGCUUGAGAAAAGCUCAGUGUGGAAAUGCUAUCAGAAGUGACUGCACUGGCACAUGGCUUCCUUUACCAUUGUGAGCAGAUACAGAUGGAGGAAAUGGCUACAUGGUUUGUUCUGUAGAUGGAACGUUAAGUGCAGGAGUUGGCCCCGAAGUACUAUUUCCUUUUGUGGAUGAUGGGACAAAGGAAAGCGUAAUUCGCAGACCAAAGGAAGACAACUUCAUUUACAACUUCAUCUGGAUGUUUCUGACACCUGAAACUACUCAACAAAAAUGGUGCCUCCAAUGUCAAUGGAAGAGGAGACCUAUAGAAAACGCGGCUGACCCUGAUCAUAUGGCUGAAUAUGCACGUCAUUCAGGAUUCAGAGAAAAUGAAGGAGGCGAGCUGGUGCAACCUGGCGUGGCGGCACAUCCUGCAACUGCCCAACUGCGCCAACCGGGCAGCUGGCACGUUGGAGACAGCAUCUGUGAACUUCGGUGGCACCCUGUGCCCACCCACCUUCACAGCAUCAUGACUGCUAAUUCCUCCUUCCAAACCUCACACACAUUUCUCUUGUGGUCCACUCUCAACCAGAAUCACUCAGUCAACAGAAUUUGGGGGAAUGUAGUCCCAUUAAGCUAACAGAGUUUAAUACACCAAAGGGCCCUAAGAUCUUAGGCUGGUGUAUUUCCAUAGUUCUUAUUAAGUGCUCAGAUGUGAGGGUGAGCUCCCUGCCUCUGGUAAGAAGUCUCCAGGGCCCUUUACCAUUUAUGUAGCAUCCUCCUUGCAGAAGUCAGUGGGUCCUUUUGUGCUCUAAUCUGAGAUCUUGUGGAAGGAAGAGCAGAGAAAGGCAGUGCUGACAGCCAGGAGGCAAGGAGAACCAGAUGCCCAAUACACAGUGAAAACGCCUAAUCUGAUCACACGUUGUGAUCUAACUCCAGGCCCCAAAUAAAGUAACCAUGAACUUGAGAGGGAAGGCUAGAUGUUUGAAUUUGCCACAAUUAACUGAAAUUUAUGUUGGGGAAACCAGCAGUCUAAUCCAAAUCCACUGUAGGGAGAAACAUGUCUCCAGGGUUUUAAUAUCAGAAAUUGUAUGUAAAUCUGGUUUCCUGUAUUAAAAAUAGUACAGCUCUUCAAGGAACAGACUGCCUUGUUUUUGUGUCUCUAAAACAUAAUUUUACGGAAACCAAGUCAGUUCUAAAACUAGUCAAGUUCCCACCUUCAUAAAGAACCCUAUAGACAAAUAGAAUCAACAAACUAUUCCUCCUCACUGGGCGCCCUGCUGGAGAAAAGGAAGAUACUCCAGGGUUUUCCAUGAGCUCAUAAGAUAUCCUAAAA
ensembl:lncRNA